rnacentral:lncRNA from 1 species
GACCCUGAAGAGUCCUGGUCCAGCCCCCACAUGCACUUGAGCAAAGGCACUCACAGUCUCUGAGCCUCACCGAUGGCCUGGAAACUCAGGCUUCUGCCCGCCUGUGAUGCGAAGUCCUCCUCUGAGUGGGGAGGAGCAGUCUCUCCAGGGUCAGCCUAGACCCUGGAUGUGGAAGCACCAAAGUAUAGAAAAUAAAGGCACGGUUCAUACGGCAUGCAGCUGGCUCACGGAUGGUGUGCCUGAGUGUGCAAAACGAUCUCGUGUCAAGUGAGGUGGCUCAGGCUGCUGUCCUUGUCGCUGCAAGCCCUGCUUGGAGAAUGAAAGCUCACUUGUUGUCAGGGUCCUCCAUGCAUCCCAGCACCCCUGGGUGGGACCAAGGGCAUGCUCCACCUUCUAUCACGAGGAACAAUUAGUAUUAACAAGACGGCGCCGCGGAAUGCACUUCCUAAAUUGUGGACAGUGUUAGCAAAUUCCUAAAAGCACCCAACACCUCUUCAAGGAGGAAGGUGAAGCCUUGUUGUUUAGAGUUCACUUUUUCUUUGUAACAUAUUCUAUUUCCGAGAUCUUUCUUAUACAUUUUAUUUAGCCAAGGCUGUUUGCCAAGGAGUUUGCAUCCACCCCACUGCUAUUUGAGGCCAUGCUUGCUGUGAGUUUCUCCGAUUCCUCUCCCUGCUUCACCCACUCCUUCUGAAAAACACAGCUAAUUGAUGGUCAAUUUGGCCACAGAAGCCUAGUAUUGGAAUUGUUGGAAUACAGGAGGAUUUGUGGACUAGAUUUUUUUUUCUUCUUCAAGAAUGACAAGCUAACCCCAAAUUAUGGCAAGAAUUCUUCAGGUUCAAUAAUUAAAAGCAAAAGGCAGUCCCCACGGAGAAAAAACAGUGUGGUCUGGAAGAUAUCUUUCAAAUUGAAGCAGACUGUGUAACUCCCAAAUAUUAUGGAUACAAAUUAGCUAUAUUUGAUCACUGGAUCUUAUUUACCCUAAUUGUCUUCAUUUCUGUGGUUUCCUCAUACAUUGUGUUUACAGCACACUUGGUUUCCCAGCUCAGUGUCGGAGUCUGGGCUGCAGGGAUGGUGAGAUCGAGCUUCAGAGUUGAGAAGAGGGGAGGGUAGACAGAGAGAGAAAGGGGAGAGAGAGAGUGUGGGAGUCUGGGCUGCAGGGGUGGUGAGAUCGAGCUUCAGAGUUGAGGAGAGGGGAGGGUAGACAGGGAGAGGAAGGGGAGAGAGAGAGAGUCGGAGUCUGGGCUGCAGGGGUGGUGAGAUCCAGCUUCAGAGUUGAGGAGAGGGGAGGGUAGACAGAGAGAGGAAGGGGAGAGAGAGAGACAGAGAGAGGAGAAUGGGAGACAGAGAGGGAAGGGAGGGAGGGAAGGGAGAGUAUAAGAGAGAAACAGAGACACAGAGGAAGGGAAUGAGAAAGGGAAGACAGAGACAUAAGGACAGUGAGACACAGAGAAAGGGAGGGAGAAAGAGAGGGAGCGAGAGAGGGAGAGAGGGAGAGAGGGAGAGAGAGGGAGAGAGAGAGAGGGAGUGAGAGAGGGAGAGAGAGAGGGAGCCAGAGACAGAGAGAGGGAGAGAGGGAGAAAGGGAGAGAGAGAGAGGGAGAGAGAGAGGGAGCAAGGUGGGGGCGAGAGAGGGAGUGAGAGAGAGGGAGUGAGAGAGGGAGAGGGAGAGAGAGAGGGAGCGAGAGAGAGCCAGGGGGGCCUUUUUUGGGAGAUAUGCUUU